GAUGAACGCUGGCGGCGUGCCUAAUACAUGCAAGUCGAGCGAACAGACGAGGAGCUUGCGCCUCUGACGUUAGCGGCGGACGUGUGAGUAACACGUGUAUAACCUACCUAUAAUACUGGGAUAACUUCGGGAAACCGGAGCUAAUACCGGAUAAUAUAUUGAACCGCAUGGUUCAAUAGUGAAAGACGGUGUUGGUGUCACUUAUAGAGGGAUCCCGGCCGUAUUGGCUAGUUGGUAAGGUAACGGGCUAUCAAGGGAAGGAGGCGUGGGCGACCUGAGUGGGUGAUCGCCCACCCUGGAAGGGAACCACGGUCCAGACUCCUACGGGAGGCAGCAGUAGGGAACCUUCCGCAGUGGGCGAAAGCAUGACGGAGCAACGCGGAGUGAGAGACGACGGUCUUCCGAUCGUAAAACCCUGUUAUGAGGGAAGAACAACUGUGUACGUAAACAUGCACGUAUUGACGGUACCUAAUAAGAAAGCACCGGCUAACUACGUG
rnacentral:rRNA from 1 species